rnacentral:misc_RNA from 1 species
GUUCAGCUCAGCAAUGUUAACCACUCUUUGUCAUUAAAACUAUGAAUGCUCAUGUUAAAAGUGAUCCAAAAGAAAUACUCCAAAUUACAUGAGUGUGAUUCCUUGGCUUCCAAAGGGCUAAAGCACGUCAAAAGAGGUCACGCACUAGGUUAUUCAACUUUGAGACCCAUACAUUUACCUUUAAAUGAGCUUAGCUGACUUAAAAACUUAAACCAACCCCAAAAAAUAAAGUUCAAGCUUA